rnacentral:lncRNA from 1 species
UAGGAAAGAAACUUACAGGUGCUGUGAUAGAGAAGAACUGGAGGACUGGGGCUGGAUAAGUAACCUGGGAAGGUCUCUACGAGGGUUUAGUCCUGCUGAAGAUAUCAAAAAAUAACCUAUUUACAAACACGAUUUUUAAAAUGGCAAUCCAACUCAACACCCAAAGA